UGUGUUCGUUGGAUGCAUUUGCGUGCGGAGUGCGCCGAGUGGGUCGAUGUCGCUGCCGGAAGGGCGUAUAGAGGACUCGGGUUUUCGGACUCGAGAAUCCUGUGCGUUCGGAUAGCAGGUGAUGUUGGCUCGCUGUUGUGGAGUGCGGGUGAAUUCGCGAUGGGCGUCGGUUGUGAGUUGUGGUUGCGGAUGGCACAUGUGUCUUCCGUUUUCGCGGCCUACGAUCGGCGUUCGUUGCCCGGCACUCGACUCGGUGUAUAGUCGGUCACCCAUUCGACCCGUCUUGAAACACGGACCAAGGAGUUUAAGGUGUACGCGAGUCAUUGAGCUGCGAAACUCAAAGGCGUAAUGAAAGUGAGACAUUGGAUGUCGACGAUGUGAGCGUUGGGCGUUUCGACGUCCGGCGCGCAACAUCGCCCCGUGACUAGGACUUGUUCUGUUGCGGAGGUUGAGCGUACGCUUUGAGACCCGAAAGAUGGUGAACUAUGCCCGAACAGGAUGAAGCCAGAGGAAACUCUGGUGGAAGUCCGAAGCGGUUCUGACGUGCAAAUCGAUCGUCUGAUUUGGGUAUAGGGGCGCAAGACUAAUCGAACCAUCUAGUAGCUGGUUCCUUCCGA
rnacentral:rRNA from 1 species